UACGUAGGUGGCAAGCGUUGUCCGGAAUCACUGGGCGUAAAGCGCGCGCAGGCGGCGAUCUACGUCUGGGGUGAAAGCCCGGAGCUCAACUCCGGGACUGCCUUGGAUACGGGAUCGCUUGAGGAUUGGAGAGGCAAGGGGAAUUCCACGUGUAGCGGUGAAAUGCGUAGAGAUGUGGACGAACACCUGUGGCGAAGGCGCCUUGCUGGCCAAUUACUGACGCUGAGGCGCGAAAGCGUGGGGAGCAAACAGG
rnacentral:rRNA from 1 species